AUUGAACGCUGGCGGCAGGCCUAACACAUGCAAGUCGAACGAGUGGCGGACGGGUGAGUAAUGUCUGGGAAACUGCCCGAUGGAGGGGGAUAACUACUGGAAACGGUAGCUAAUACCGCAUACCAUCGGAUGUGCCCAGAUGGGAUUAGCUAGUAGGUGGGGUAACGGCUCACCUAGGCGACGCUCCCUAGCUGGUCUGAGAGGAUGACCGGCCCCACUGGGACUGAGACACGGUCCAGACUCCUACGGGAGGCAGCAGUGGGGAAUAUUGCGCAAUGGGCGCAAGCCUGAUGCAGCCAUGCCGCGUGUAUGAAGAAGGCCGUCGGUUUGUAAAGUACUUUCGGCGAGGAGGCGUUACUCGCAGAGAAAGCACCGGCUAACUCCGUGCCAGCCGCCGCGGUAAUAC
rnacentral:rRNA from 1 species